rnacentral:rRNA from 1 species
UUGAUGCAAGGUUAAGCAGUAAAUGUGGAGCCGUAGCGAAAGCGAGUCUGAAUAGGGCGUUUAGUAUUUGGUCGUAGACCCGAAACCAGGUGAUCUACCCUUGGUCAGGUUGAAGUUCAGGUAACACUGAAUGGAGGACCGAACCGACUUACGUUGAAAAGUGAGCGGAUGAACUGAGGGUAGCGGAGAAAUUCCAAUCGAACCUGGAGAUAGCUGGUUCUCUCCGAAAUAGCUUUAGGGCUAGCCUCAAGUGAUGAUUAUUGGAGGUAGAGCACUGUUUGGACGAGGGGCCCCUCUCGGGUUACCGAAUUCAGACAAACUCCGAAUGCCAAUUAAUUUAACUUGGGAGUCAGAACAUGGGUGAUAAGGUCCGUGUUCGAAAGGGAAACAGCCCAGACCACCAGCUAAGGUCCCAAAAUAUAUGUUAAGUGGAAAAGGAUGUGGCGUUGCCCAGACAACUAGGAUGUUGGCUUAGAAGCAGCCAUCAUUUAAAGAGUGCGUAAUAGCUCACUAGUCGAGUGACACUGCGCCGAAAAUGUACCGGGGCUAAACAUAUUACCGAAGCUGUGGAUUGUCCUUUGGACAAUGGUAGGAGAGCGUUCUAAGGGCGUUGAAGCAUGAUCGUAAGGACAUGU